rnacentral:misc_RNA from 1 species
GCCACAAUAACAGCCUUCCCCAUGCUUCGGCACAGUCUGAUAAUUUCUUCCUGCAAAAGUGGAACCUCCUCAAUGGGGAGCUCUGCACCAAGGUCUCCUCUUGCAACCAUUGCCCCAUCAGAUGCUGUGAUUAUUGAAUGCAAAUUUGCUAUAGAAUCUGCACUUUCAAUCUUUACAAUCACAUGUAUAUCUGCACCGCAGCUUUGAAGAUAGUUCUUCAAUUCAUGAACUACUUGUGCAUCUUUUACAAAGGAAACUGCAUAGAAGUCAACUUUAUUGUCCACCCCAAAUUUUAUGUCAUCCCAAUCCUUUUCA